rnacentral:tRNA from 1 species
GAGGGUAUAGCUUAAGUGGUAGAGUGCAUGCUUAGCAUGCAUGAGGUCCUGGGUUCAAUCCCCGGUGUCUCCU